GUGCUCACUUCAGCAGCACAAACUCUAAAAUUGGAAUGUUGCAGAGAAUAUUAGCAUGGCCUCUGUGCAAGGAUGACAUGCAAAUUCAUGAAGCCUUCCAUAUUUUU